ACUUGUAGCCCGCCGGCAGGAGCGAGCCGUUCGCCUCCAGGCUCCGCACCGCGUACUCGAUGGCCGGCCUGACCCGCGCCAGCGAGAACAGCGGUAGAGAACCCGAGGCGCACCAAGGUGGCGGAAAGGAGCGAGCGAGGGCGCACUGAGGAAAAGUUUGGAGGGCUCCGCUCGGAAGGGGCGCCGUCUGCUCCCUCUCGCCUCUGGAUUCUAGUCAGAAAUAGAGGGUGAAUUUGCUUCGCGCUUUGGGGAAGGGACGGUCUGCCGCCCCGCUACAACUUUCCCGCGCCCCGUCCUCCAUGUAACCCAUCAUGCCUGGGAAACAUCAUGCCUUGAGCCAAAGGUGGAGUUGGAUCCCUGCAGAGAUGAGGAAUCUCUUCUUCGCAGAGAAUCUGCUUUGCAUCCUGGAGAAUCAAAGCUCUCUGAGUGGAUUAAAGGCUUAAAACAUUUGAAGGAGAUAUUUGAUAAACAGCUUGGGAUAAAUAGACAAGGAAUAUAAAAUCUACCCAUUCCAGCAAUGGAAUAGGCUCUUAGAGCAAAAUUGCAGAAAGGAAAUUGAGUUCCAAGAACAAGCCACUUCCUAUAUGGUUAAGAGAGGGGAAGCUACAGAUUGAGAAAGACAGCAAGGCUUUAAGUUGUAGCGAUCAUAUACAAUAAGGUUGUACUGAGAGCUGUCAACACGUUUAGAAGUAUUUAUUUGUAUUUGUUUAUUCU